rnacentral:misc_RNA from 1 species
GGAAGUAAAAGUCGUAACAAGAUUUCCGUAGGUGAACCUGCGGAAGGAUCAUUAAAGUUAUAGUCCCCCGGCCCUCUGGGCUGGGGUCUUCUAUACCACCCUUUGUUCAUUACACCUUUGUUGCUUUGGCAGGCCUGCCCUCGGGCUGCUGGCUCCGGCCGGCUCGCGUCUGCCAGAGGACCUAAACUCUGUUUGUAUAUGAAGUCUGAGUACUAUAUAAUAGUUAAAACUUUCAACAACGGAUCUCUUGGUUCUG